UUUCUUUCGUUGAUUUCAUAGACCCGGAUGUCGAUUUUCCAGAUUAGGGUCGUCUUCUUCGAGAUCCUUUGUACGGAGUGCUUCCUCUUCCACCGUUUUGUUUUUCGAUCAUUAUGAACCUAAGCACAAUCACUGUCGACGUCGCGAAUCAACUUCCUGUAACCUUACCUCCAGCUUCCUAUAUAUUGAGAUCGUACAUUUAAUUGAAACACAUACCCAGGUUUGACCCAUAUCUUCUUCUCAACUUCUCGACGUAUCAUUAUUGGCUGCCAUUGCCGCCGUUCUCUACUCCACGUUCAUCUCCUCCACCGCGGAAGAUCCGCCCAGUCUGUUGUCGGUCGACUCAUACGAUUCUGGGAUUCCAGGAACAUUAGCAAGAAUGGAGAGUUCAUGGGCAUCACCAUUCUCCUCCUUGAUGAACUGGUGAUGAUUGUUUCUUACUUAUUUUUAGUCACUUAUUUUCUAUGUUCAUACAUGAAGCGUCUCUUCAUGUUUUUUGGUUCUGUCGUCGAUCAAGCUUCCAUGUACUCAUCAUCAAAACAUCUGUAAGACUGUAACUCUUCGUCCUCAUCUUUCCUUCAGAUCUAAGAAGGCUCUGCAUAUUGAUUUUGUCGGCUCCAGGUUCAAUCCCUAAUACCUUUUAAGAAUCGUUUGACUGGCAUCAUUAGUACCCAAAGUCUCGAUUCUUAAAAAAAGAAACAAACAUCAAUCCUUCGGACGACUCACUGCAUCUCCUCCUUUGCGAGUGGCUCCAGGUCUCCUCAUAUGCCUCAUUGUCCUAUGCGAGUCCUCUGUCGCCGGCUAAGGUGGUUAAGCCUCUUGGCUCUGAGAUUCUUGGUACUGUUAUGUCUUCAAAGAUGUGGGAAAUUGCUUAGGAUUAUGCUCGAUCAUGUGUUCUUAAUCAUAGCGUCCAACCUCAUGGAUAUCAGAAGGAAACUGCUGUUGUCUUCAAUGUGGUAGCUCAAGUGCUUGGACUGCUUGUGGAUUUUCAGUAUAUUCCUGCUGAGAAGUUAUCUGAGAUUUCAGGUUCAAGCCAAGGACAUGGUAAUUGCUGCACUGAGUCACCUCAAUGAGUCUUCCAUGACGAGGACCUUUCUCAACGUCUCGUCUUCUCAAAGCAGUGUUGGGAUUGAUUACUCCGGUUUGAGUUUGACCAGUAUGGACGGUUAUGGUUUAAGGUCAAACCUUCACAACACAGCAGAAUGCAGUGGCCAUGUUGACAUGGAAGUUACUCCACAAGGUCUAUAUGAAGACUCCAAGCUCUGGAACUGCUUUCAGAUUCUUGGCUUGGAUGAACCUCAAUCUGAUUUGAACUGAAGUUUGCAACAAAUUUGCUAAUGAGUGAUAUUGUUGCUUUCUUGAACAAUUACUUCUAGGUUGCACGGGUACGUCAAUCUAUAGCCGUCUCGCGUACCGGGUUCGGCGGGGGGACGGGUACGUCCCGGGUAAACGUCCCCGACACGUGCAAGAUGACCUUACUUCUUUAAGAAUUAGCUGAGCUGAUGUCUGUAAUCAAAGAUGAAACCAUUAGCAGAAAGAGUGGUAAACAUGUCAGUUUUACCUAAUUUCAAUUUAGAGAUAUCGUCUUUUUCGUUUUUGAUCAUUGUUAUUUAUUUUUCCAGAUAUUAUUGGAGCUCUUGCUCAAAUAUGAAACUGCCCAAAUCAUAAAAGCAAAAGACUUUAGACAAGUAUGUAUAUGCUAUUCAAAGAAGUACAUAGUUUCUUCCGAGCCAUUUUGAAGGUUCAUUGAGAAUAUAUGUUGUACGAGAGAGGCAUGUGUCUUCUUAUGCUCAUCUCUUUAUUAAGCAAAAAAAAUCUGAAAUUAGGAGUACAA